rnacentral:pre_miRNA from 1 species
UGUCUAAGAAGUUUAAGUGUCCAGUGCAUAAUGAACCAGGCAUCUUUACUUCUCAGACAUA